CAACAAAUACGAGUUUGUGCGAUGCAGUUCUGGGCCACACCAAAUCAUUUAGAUGUGAGCAUGAUUUUCCGACCUGGUGUGAGCUUCGUUUUUAAUUACAUGAGGUGCAAAGCAAAUUUUUAGGAGUGAAGGUUUUCCUCUUAGAGCCAUUAUGACUGAAUAUCAAAUGUAUAAUCACCCCUUCAUCCUGUUACAGAAAUGACAUUUGAAAUAAGUGAUGUAAAAUAGUAACAAGCAAAGAAUAUAAAAUUAUUGUAUUUAUUUAAAGAAGGUAGUUGUUGAGGAGAAAAAAAAAGAAAUUGGGUGGGAGGGUGCAGAUUUUCUGUCAAAAUGACAAUAACACAUUUAUCAAGGAAAAUUAAGUAGCACUUGUUUUUUGGUAGGCCAAAAAAAAAAAGACAUGGUGGACUGGAUCUGUUUGGGGAAAGCGAAUUCAACGUUUUGCCCCGUUAACUGUAAUCCGUUUACUAACCGUUAUCAUGGCACCCCACCAAAAGGAAAAAAAAGUCACAAAGGUGUAGACUUAAUUUAAUAGUUUUGCCAGAGAGAGAGAUGGAAAAAAGUAGUAGUAUUUUUUUACACCAGUUAAGUACGCAAGCAGCUCAUUGUUUGUGCUAUUUGCAAUUUCUAGUCACUAGUCCGCAUCACUAACCUGCAAAAAGAUGCACGCACUGGCCACCCAUUGUUCAGCGAUGGACUCAAUGAAGGGAACAAAUUUGGCUCAAUGUUGGACAUCUGAUUAAUAAAUUGCCUUUAGCUUGGAUGGCAACGGAACACUCUGACCAAUGACAUCUUAUUGCUGUUUCUUUCUGUUAAAUAUUGUAUCCGAAGUGAUUUAAACAUUUAUGAAUGACCACUAGAUUUUAAUGUGUAAGAACCUAAUUAAAAUAGUCGCUGAAAAGCUUUAUGGAGUAAAUCAGUAUGCGUUUUUUAAAUUUUAUUUUUUCAGAAAAUAAAAAGCAAGUCAAAUGGUGUCGCCUGUUAAAGAGGCCUCAUUCACCCCCCCCCCCCAACCCCCUUCCUUUCAUUUGCAUACUUUAAUGAAUCCAAGUCAUUGUAAUGCAAUACCAAGUGCAGGAAGAACAUAGAAUGACAGUUUGAGUUAAUGAAAUGUGUUAACGGUAUCAUCAUUUACUUGUAUGUUAAUUAGUCCAAUUAAUUUCCUUUGCUCUGUAAUCUGAAUAUUGUAAUAAUCUUUGCUCCCCUGAAGGUAAGAAAUCCACAUUGCACACACACCUCUGGGACAAUCUGCAUGAAGCGCCGUGCCUUAUCCGCUUGAACUGGACGCACAUUUGACAUGUGAGCUCCUUUGAUCAAUGCUUAUGACUUUUGAUACUAUUCGUUUUGGUAUUAUUAGGUUUGUUGUGCAUGCCAGAAUGCACAACAGUGGAUCGAGAGCUGCUCGACAUCAUUUGUAUGCUGCAAGACUUGAUCGCCCCCCCCCCCUCUCCUCUUAAUGUUUAAAUGCUCUGAUAGACCCUGCAAAGUGAAUCCAGGGAUUUGUUUCCAAAAACGUGUAGCGUACGUGUUUGAAGAUAACUGCUGUCCUUGUUAAAAUAUUAGAUUUCAACAGUACUGUAUGUCAAUACACUUCUCCAGCUUGUUUUAAAGCACAUUACAUUAAAAAAUAAGUCAAACAUUUCAGGAGGGACUGGGAUUCCAUUUAAGGGUGCUUGAGCACCCCACAAAAUGGCCUGCAAACACCCAUAACAAUACGUCCUGAUUUUGGGGGGCGUGGCUAAAACGGCACUGGAUCAAGCACUUGGGCGAGUCUUCCCGCCGCCCUCGUUAGCAGUUCUUAGUUCUUGGCGCUAGCAUGUUAGCUUGGCAGCUAGCUGGAAAGCCCUGUAACGACGCGAUGGGAAACUUUAAUCGGAUAUUUUGACAGUAUGAACAAGUAUGAGUAAGAAGGGUCGCCAGUGACCGGACCAAAUGGAGGAAACUCGUCGCCCAAUGUUCCAAAUGGGAACUGGCGGAACUAACUAACUUUGACAGUAUGUAGGGAUGCGUAGGCAUCGGACAGAUGCCAGACAUACGUCAGUCGGAUGACUGUAAUUUAAUUUACAGCUGGCAGUUGAGCAUUUGAUCUACACUACUCGGCAAUUUUUUUUUCAAUCGUUCAAAUUUACAAGACCUGUUUAUUUUUACCUCAGAGGAACAGUAAUGAUGGAAAAUGGAAAGAAAAGCUUUUUUUCCCUUUCGUAUCCAUGGGGUGAUUCUGUUAAGAUAUCUUUUGCCAAUUUGGAACUGUACAGACUACGAACGCGAGCAACCGCAGCAACAAUACAGAAUUAGAUAUUACGCUUUCUAACCUUGCUUGUGCACUGUUGGCUCAAAUGACAUAUUGCUUUCUACUGUCCCUCACAUACAAAACACUUGGAAGGAUGAAGGCGGCCUCGUCUCCAUUUUUGGUCCAGUUUUUGUGCUUUUCGCCCAUUCGUGGCAAGAUAGAACUGCAAUUUUGCCAAAUGACUAUUAUUUUCCUUUCUCAAGGAACAAGUACGGCGCAAUGGAUUGUUGGUGUCACACAGCUGCAGUCGUGUACUACCUCUGUUUGGAGUGUAAAGCACCUCUUUAGAUUUAGAGGACUCCCGAAUCUUUGCAUAUAGACUGCAUAAAUGUGGCAUACUGCUUAAUAUUUACUUUAAUAGUGUUUUGUUUUUUUUAAUGGCCAGGAUUGAAGUGUGUCCUUUUUUUUGGUGCCGCAUUCCCCGUCACACGCUUGCCCUUGAUCAACUACACGUGGCAGACAAUGGCACUGAUCAUUUUCCCCCGGCGAGGAAACCCAGCAUGGAUCAACUCAAUAACCUGAUAUUCUCCGUCCACUCAAUCUGGACAAUUUAGCGGCAGGUCACCACCUUUCUCCCUCUCUCUUUUUUUUUCUCUCUCACAGACAAUUUGGUGACCUCCCCCCUGAGCACUGGCAGGUCCAAAGGAGACAAACACAAUUGUAGCGUGAGCAAAAGUGCUUGUGAUGUGAACAUGUGUGGAUCUCAAUUUCUCAAGGUGAUACCUGGUGUGGGACACAGAGCGUAUGUGGGGGGGUUGGGGGGGGGGGUGUUAUUAUGCAAACUCGAUAUCCAGCAUGCUUGCAAAUGACAUUUUUCAUGUAUUUUCCACCGUACAGUUACCGUCGCACAUGCAUGUUUGAAUUGCUGUCCUUACAAAUGAUUUUGCAUCAUCCUGUUACGUUGCGAGGUGCCAUUCAGCUUCACAAGCACUCGUUCCCCGCCGGGGGAUUACGGCCUGCGCUUCUCCUUUUUUUUUAGGGAUGGAAUUCAAAUCGGAUUAAUCUUCAUUGUGGAAUUUCUGCCCCGCUGUUUUGCAUUUACUGUCAGCCGCAUCCAGCUGUGAAAAUUGAAUCGACAACAAUAUCCCGCAUGAUGAUGUCCAUUGUGUCCGUCAAUUUUUUUACUGACGAGACGAUUGUCUGAGAUUAUGGACGGACGCUAUCGUGUAGUUACCUUCGCUAUGCAGACUAACUCUCCUUCAUUGCUCACCUCAAGGUCAAAGCCGACAGCUGCGCUUCAACUCCCUCCAAUUGAAGCAGAACUGAGCAGUUGCGCUCUCAGCCUUGUCUUGCCCGUGACAAGAGCAGGCCGUUAGUGUUAUUCAGCCUAUUGGAAGACAAUUUCAGAUAUGACAGGAGACCUUUUUGUGUCUGGAAAUGUACAUGAAAUGGUGUCAACAACAUCCUUGCGAGGUCACAACACAGUCCCCCCACGGAGUGUGCGAGCCGGCGAGAAUCCGCACCGGCGCUUGACGGCUCCGUGGCAGCUUUGACGCAGACUGUAAUCUGCGCUGGACUUUGGCUCUGAUUACACGUGUCUCACGGAGCAAAACAAGGACUGCCGGCACUGGGCCCUUGCCGAGCUUUUCAGCUUUCAAGAGGACUCGAGUCCGCCUUGAAGGGAUCCAACAUGGGGCCACUGCAGUUUUUUUCCCCCGAUCAGCCAUGCAUUCCUGCCCUAUGGUUAUGCUCAUUCCCACUGUGACAUAUCCCAAAGGGCGACUUGGCAAUUUCCAGCGAGAUGGACCAACUGCAGACAGCUCUUUGCUUUUGAUAAUGUCACCGCGACAGCAGAACCCGAGUGCCGCUUCCAUCACCGUGAGGAGGAACGCCUUUGGAAGCCUCCUGCCACUCUCGUGCCGGAUGCGUGGACCUCUUCUCAGGAAACUCGCACCCAACUGGGGGUUUGGUUUGUAGGCUGACCAACAUUGUCAUGUUGUGUGUGUGUGUGUGUGUGUGUGCGUGCAUAGUUUAAAAAAAUGUUUGGAGCAAAUUACUUGCUUUGUCACACUGUCAGAAGCAGUUUACAACAGAGACUGGAGGAGUCACAGAAAGGCAUGGAAGUGGACAACCAUAGUAAUUAAUUUGAAUCAAACACCUGAAUUUAAGAUGUUAGCUAAUAAGGAGCCGUCCUUUUCAAGAACAGCAAGUUGUGAAAAAACUAGUGAACAGUUGGACAUUUGAAGGCUUGUUUUAAAAUUCAUCCAGCAAUUACAGGAUCCCAACAUUUUUUGGGGGGGAGGAAAGGCAACCAAAAAGUAAAACCUUCCUUAAAACGCAGUCACAGAGAAAGGCGUUGAACACAGAGGCCCGACAGCUUAAGUUGGAAUUAAUCAGUUGAUAGUGACCCCAUAGCUUGUGUGUGAUUGUGCCCCCACGACUUCCAUUUAUUCCGCUUUUCGUCUAGGCUGAAAUCGGCACGGACCCGCAGGUCUCUGAGACAAAUCAGCAGUCUCCACGUUUCCCCGCAGCCGUAAUGAAAAUAUCAGUCAAUCAAAAUCUUUAUGACGCCGUCAAACCGCCGCUUAUCUCCACAUGUGCAUACAAAUAGAAGCUGCAAGUGCUCAAUGCGCGUUUGAAGCUUUACGGCCGGCAGUACAUCACCGGGACUGCAUUUAUACUGUCAUUCUUUUCACUCUGGGAGUUGAUAACUUUACCCGAAGUGACACAAAAGUUUAAAUAUUUGAAAAACGCGUUCAUUUCUACAGGUCCUGUAAAGUUUUGGGUCAAUAAUAAUUUAACUUAAAUAUAAUCAGCAAGACGUGCGGCCACACUGGCAGACAUGACUGCUUGUGUCUAAUAAUUCAUUCAUUCAUUCAUUCAUCUUCUGAGCCGCUUGAUCCUCACUAGGGUCGCGGGGGGUGCUGGAGCCUAUCCCAGCUGUCUUUGGGCAGUAGGCGGGGGACACCCUGAAUCGGUUGCCAGCCAAUCGCAGGGCACACAGAAACGAACAACCAUUCGC